rnacentral:rRNA from 1 species
GACGAACGCUGGCGGCGUGCUUAACACAUGCAAGUCGAACGGAAAGGCCCUGCUUUUGUGGGGUGCUCGAGUGGCGAACGGGUGAGUAACACGUGAGUAACCUGCCCUUGACUUUGGGAUAACUUCAGGAAACUGGGGCUAAUACCGGAUAGGAGCUCCUGCUGCAUGGUGGGGGUUGGAAAGUUUCGGCGGUUGGGGAUGGACUCGCGGCUUAUCAGCUUGUUGGUGGGGUAGUGGCUUACCAAGGCUUUGACGGGUAGCCGGCCUGAGAGGGUGACCGGCCACAUUGGGACUGAGAUACGGCCCAGACUCCCACGGGAGGCAGCAGUGGGGAAUAUUGCACAAUGGGCGGAAGCCUGAUGCAGCAACGCCGCGUGCGGGAUGACGGCCUUCGGGUUGUAAACCGCUUUCGCCUGUGACGAAGCGUGAGUGACGGUAAUGGGUAAAGAAGCACCGGCUAACUACGUGCCAGCAGCCGCGGUGAUACGUAGGGUGCGAGCGUUGUCCGGAUUUAUUGGGCGUAAAGGGCUCGUAGGUGGUUGAUCGCGUCGGAAGUGUAAUCUUGGGGCUUAACCCUGAGCGUGCUUUCGAUACGGGUUGACUUGAGGAAGGUAGGGGAGAAUGGAAUUCCUGGUGGAGCGGUGGAAUGCGCAGAUAUCAGGAGGAACACCAGUGGCGAAGGCGGUUCUCUGGGCCUUUCCUGACGCUGAGGAGCGAAAGCGUGGGGAGCGAACAGGCUUAGAUACCCUGGUAGUCCACGCUGUAAACGGUGGGUACUAGGUGUGGGGUCCAUUCCACGGGUUCCGUGCCGUAGCUAACGCUUUAAGUACCCCGCCUGGGGAGUACGGCCGCAAGGCUAAAACUCAAAGGAAUUGACGGGGCCCCGCACAAGCGGCGGAGCAUGCGGAUUAAUUCGAUGCAACGCGUAGAACCUUACCUGGGUUUGACAUGGAUCGGGAGUGCUCAGAGAUGGGUGUGCCUCUUUUGGGGUCGGUUCACAGGUGGUGCAUGCCUGUCGUCAGCUCGUGUCGUGAGAUGUUGGGUUAAGUCCCGCAACGAGCGCAACCCUUGUUCACUGUUGCCAGCACGUUAUGGUGGGGACUCAGUGGAGACCGCCGGGGUCAACUCGGAGGAAGGUGGGGAUGACGUCAAGUCCUCAUGCCCCUUAUGUCCAGGGCUUCACGCAUGCUACAAUGGCUGGUACAGAGAGUGGCGAGCCUGUGAGGGUGAGCGAAUCUCGGAAAGCCGGUCUCAGUUCGGAUUGGGGUCUGCAACUCGACCUCAUGAAGUCGGAGUCGCUAGUAAUCGCAGAUCAGCAACGCUGCGGUGAGUACGUUCCCGGG